rnacentral:rRNA from 1 species
UUGGGAUGGGCGCAGCCUGAUCCAGCCAUGCCGCGUGCGGGAAGAAGGCCUUCGGGUUGUAAACCGCUUUUGUCAGGGAAGAAAAGGUUCUGGCUAAUACCUGGGACUCAUGACGGUACCUGAAGAAUAAGCACCGGCUAACUACGUGCCAGCAGCCGCGGUAAUACGUAGGGUGCAAGCGUUAAUCGGAAUUACUGGGCGUAAAGCGUGCGCAGGCGGUUAUGCAAGACAGAGGUGAAAUCCCCGGGCUCAACCUGGGAACUGCCUUUGUGACUGCAUGGCUAGAGUACGGUAGAGGGGGAUGGAAUUCCGCGUGUAGCAGUGAAAUGCGUAGAUAUGCGGAGGAACACCGAUGGCGAAGGCAAUCCCCUGGACCUGUACUGACGCUCAUGCACGAAAGCGUGGGGAGCAAACAGGAUUAGAUACCCUGGUAGUCCACGCCCUAAACGAUGUCAACUGGUUGUUGGGAGGGUUUCUUCUCAGUAACGUAGCUAACGCGUGAAGUUGACCGCCUGGGGAGUACGGCCGCAAGGUUGAAACUCAAAUGAAAUUGACGGA